rnacentral:rRNA from 1 species
GACGUAGGGCGCAAGCGUUGUCCGGAUUUAUUGGGUUUAAAGGGUGCGUAGGCGGAUUGAUAAGUCAGUGGUGAAAGCCCGUCGCUUAACGGCGGAACUGCCAUUGAUACUGUCAGUCUUGAGUAUGGUUGAGGUGGGCGGAAUGUGUCAUGUAGCGGUGAAAUGCUUAGAUAUGACACAGAACACCAAUUGCGAAGGCAGCUCGCUAAACCAUAACUGACGCUGAUGCACGAAAGCGUGGGGAGCAAACAGG